CGAUCGGCGGCCCGCGCGGUGACGCGGCCGGGGCGGUAGCUGCGGCCGCCCCCCCUGCGCCCCCGGAACUCCGCGGCGGUCCCGCCUCCGCUCGUGGAAGUGGCCGCGGCGGGCCGCUCAGCGGCGGCCGGCUGCUCCCCCGAGGCCGGAGGCUGGGCCGGGGCCUCCGACCUCGGGGAGCCUCCGCGCGGCCUCAGUCCCGAGCUGUCCGGCCCCAGCCUGUGCGAGGCCCGGCCCCAUCCGCCCCCUGGAGCUGGACGGCAGGUGCCGCAGGUCGGGCUCCGGGGCGUGGUGUGCGGAGCCGCCGGGCUGACCGACUGGCGGGAGUGGGCCUGGGGCCCCUCCCCAGACGCCACGGCUGGGCUCCCUGAGCCUUGGGCCCCUCCACGGUGAAGCAGGAUGGUUGUGAGCAUUCCAGGCUGAUUCAUCUAAUGGGAAUUUGAAUGCUGGUGGAAAACUGUACAGAAAAUCCAGAAACCAGCUGGAGGGAACCUAAGUAAAAGUGUAAAUUUACUGGAAGGAUACUUAGGAUCUCGUGGAAUCCAGGGAAGAGUGGAACAACCACGCCUGCCUCUGGGAGGAUUGGCCCAGGAAGUCCACUGGUUCCUGCAAAGCACUGCCAUCAGUGACUCAGCUGCCACCUGCCACUCACUGUCUCUCUGUCAAAUCCAAAAUUCCCUGGAGAGUUGGACACACACGCACACACACACACACACACACACACACACACCAUAUGUUUUCAGUCUUGGGCAGUUUAAUAAACUCUGAAAAUUAUUCAUUCCUUUGAAACCGGCCCUUUUU